rnacentral:rRNA from 1 species
UUACUCUUCGGAGUGAGAGCGUACACAGGUGCUGCAUGGCUGUCGUCAGCUCGUGUCGUGAGAUGUUGGUAAGUCCCGCAACGAGCGCAACCCUGCAUUCAGUUGCCAUCGGUAAGGCCGGGCACUCUGGAUGGACUGCCGGCGACAAGCCGGAGGAAGGUGGGGACGACGUCAAGUCAUCAUGGCCCUUAUGUCCAGGGCGACACACGUGCUACAAUGGCCGGCACAACGGGAAGCGAAGGGGCGACCCUGAGCGGAUCCCACAAAAGCCGGUCUCAGUUCGGAUUGCAGUCUGCAACUCGACUGCAUGAAGUUGGAAUCGCUAGUAAUCGUGGAUCAGCCAAGCCGCGGUGAAUACGUUCCCGGGCCUU